UACAUAGGUCUCAAGCGUUGUUCGGAUUCAUUGGGCGUAAAGGGUGCGUAGGCGGCGCGGUAAGUCGGGUGUGAAAUCUCGGGGCUUAACUCCGAAACUGCAUUCGAUACUGCCGUGCUUGAGGACUGGAGAGGAGACUGGAAUUUACGGUGUAGCGGUGAAAUGCGUAGAUAUCGUAAGGAAGACCAGUGGCGAAGGCGGGUCUCUGGACAGUUCCUGACGCUGAGGCACGAGGGUCAGGGGAGCAAACGGG
rnacentral:rRNA from 1 species